rnacentral:rRNA from 1 species
UAGGGAAUCUUCCGCAAUGGGCGAAAGCCUGACGGAGCAACGCCGCGUGAGUGAUGAAGGUCUUCGGAUCGUAAAACUCUGUUAUUAGGGAAGAACAAAUGUGUAAGUAACUAUGCACGUCUUGACGGUACCUAAUCAGAAAGCCACGGCUAACUACGUGCCAGCAGCCGCGGUAAUACGUAGGUGGCAAGCGUUAUCCGGAAUUAUUGGGCGUAAAGCGCGCGUAGGCGGUUUUUUAAGUCUGAUGUGAAAGCCCACGGCUCAACCGUGGAGGGUCAUUGGAAACUGGAAAACUUGAGUGCAGAAGAGGAAAGUGGAAUUCCAUGUGUAGCGGUGAAAUGCGCAGAGAUAUGGAGGAACACCAGUGGCGAAGGCGACUUUCUGGUCUGUAACUGAGGCUGAUGUGCGAAAGCGUGAGGAUCAAACAGG